rnacentral:hammerhead_ribozyme from 1 species
CCACUGCUGAGGAGUCCCAUAAUAGGACGAAAUGGCCGUACAGUGC